AGAUUCUUUACAGGUGACCGCGAAAUGCGUCUAACUCGGGGUGCUUGCAACUCGGAAUGUGUGAAAAUUCAAUUGUGAGUUGAAUUUUUUUACCCCCAAAAUUCAACUCACUAUCGAAUUUUCACGCAUUCUGAGUAGCAAGCACCCCAAGUUGCACGCACUCCGAAGUCACCUGCAAAGAAUCU
rnacentral:pre_miRNA from 1 species